CCUACGGGAGGCAGCAGUGAGGAAUAUUGGUCACUGGACGAGAGUCUGAACCAGCCAAGUAGCGUGAAGGAUGACUGCCCUAUGGGUUGUAAACUUCUUUUAUAUGGGAAUCAAAUGUUCCACGUGUGGGAUUUUGUAUGUACCAUAUGAAUAAGGAUCGGCUAACUCCGUGCCAGCAGCCGGGGUAAUACGGAGGAUCCGAGCGUUAUCCGGAUUUAUUGGGUUUAAAGGGAGCGUAGGUGGAUUGUUAAGUCAGUUGGUAAAGUUUGCGGCUCAACCGUAAAAUUGCAGUUUAAACUGGCAGUCUUUAGGACAUGAGAGGUGGGCGGAAUUCGGGGGGUAGGGGUUAAAUGCUU
rnacentral:rRNA from 1 species